ACAUAAACGAGGUUCUACGGAAACUGUGGUGCCCAAAUUAAACAGAAUGACAUUUAAGCACGAGAAUAACAAGAUACUGUACAUGAAGUGUAAUUUUUAGAAUCAGGAAGAACCAGAAGAAUUUUAUUACUUAAAACAGUAAUUGUUUUGAGCUCUCAUGACAUCCAGGACCCACUAACAGCUAAAAAUGUGUCCAGCACCCUCAUGGAUGAACUUUAGGUGGCAACAUCACCAGAUGCUAGGUUACAUAAAAAUAUGUGCUGUGUGUAACGAAGAAACUUGAAAUUGCUGUCGUUAAUAUUGUUGCAAACAUUUGUUCUAGUUAGAAAGGAAGUGUGGAAGUUUGAUGAGCUACACAACACUGAGAGUCAAAACUCUUUACAAUGUAUAGAAAUGGCCAUCCAAAUAGGGCAGAGUUGGUACCUCACAAUGGAACCAUGAGUCAGCACAGUCAGUGCCAUACGCUGUGAAGAAUGAUAGAUGUUGGCAUAGACACACCCUGAAGAGUUUCCACCACGUUAAGUAGAACCAAAUGUUUAACUGUACAUAUACACCCUAAUAUAAAUAAGAAACCAGAAAAUAGUAGAGUAGAAAUUUUACAAAAAAUGGUAAUUUUGAGACUUUACACAGCAGUACCAGCACUUUCUUAAUGCACUUGAAUAUAAAUGGAUUAGGUACAACCAAUCAUAGUGGUAGAGUCAAGAAAAUUGAUAAACUGUAGAUUUUACUCUCAGAAUGUAAAAGUAUUAAAAUUAUUUGUUUAAAUGGACAUUGACGUACAAAUGAUUGUCACAAGGCACUUGGGUUCAAGGCAAACUUCACGGAAUUCACAAGAAAAAAUGACAAUACAUAAACCUCUAUCGAUAAUAUUCUAGCUAAUUAUAAAUUCGAUGAUAUAAGGAAGCUAUGUGUAGAUUUAGGACUUUCAGACCAUUCCGCAAUGUUUAUUGAGAUGACUAAUACAAAUGAACAAAGAACUAGAAAAACCUGCAGCAAAAGACAUUUUACUGUUGAAAACUUAAAAUUGUUCUGCUCGGAAUUAGAAGAGGUGGAGUGGCAAGUCAAAGGUGAGAUGCCAAUCUCUGUGCAUUUUAACAUAUUUAUUGAAAUUUUUUUUAUGUAUUUAGAGAAAUAUUUCCACUUAGAUUGCACUAGACAAAAGUAUCUAAUAAGCUAAAUUUGAUCACUCCUGCAAUAAAAAUAUCCAGUGGAAAAAAAGAUAACUGCAUAAGGAACUGAAAUACAACACAGACGCUGUUUUCAUUUACUAUGUUAAACAGUAUAAAAGCAUAUUUAAAAGGUUAGUGAAAGCAGAAAAAGAACAAAAAUUCUGCAGGGUGGGAUGGCAACACUACGAAAGUAGUUAAAGCAGCUGCCAGGAUAGUAGCUCACCCUCUUUGGUCAAUAAUUAAUAAAUCACUCAAAGAAGGCCACUGUCCAGAUCUCCUUAAGUAUACAGAGGUAAAACCUUUAUUUAAGAAAGGUUCAAGAGAAGAUAUGGGGAACUACUGCCCAAUCUCCAUUCUCUCGAUUUUUUCAAAAGUAUUUUAAAAAGUGGUGGUAACACAAAUUAAAAAAGUUUAGAGAAAUCAAAGAUAAUUUCAGAUAAUCAAUAUGGCUUUCAGAAAUGCAAGGUUACAACAGAGGCUAUUAAUGAGUUUGUGAAAAAAAUCAGUUCUGCAUUAAACAAGUAGAGAAAAGUUCCAGGAUUUUUCAGUGACCUCGCGAAAGCAUUUCAUUGUGUAAACCAUCACUUUCUCCUGUAUAAAAUGGAAAGAUAUUUGGGAGUUGUGCUUUAAGGUGGUUUAGCUCAUACCUCACAAACAGAAAACAGAGGGUAGUUAUAUCAUCAAGUAAGGGAAAUUCGUUUCCUGAAUGGAUGAUUAUUUUGCAAGGCGUUCUUCAAGGCUCAAUUCUGGGUCCAAUUUUGGUUUUACUUUACAUAAAUGAUCUACCCGCGACCAUAAAUUGACACUCAGUUUUGUUUGCUGACGAUACUUCUGCUCUUGUUGAAAGCAAUGACUGAACAAAUUCCUUAAACUGUGACAAGAAUAUUAGAUAGUUUGGAAAACUGGUUCCAACUGAAUGGGCUAAAAUUGAAUAUUGGAAAAACACAUUUGCUGCGGUGUAAAACUAAAAACUCUAAGGUAAAAGAAUUCCAAAUAGUUUCAGAGACCAAGAACUGAAAAAAGCGGAUUGUGUUUAACUUUUAGGCAUGCAUUUUGACCAAAAUCUGUCCUGGUCUUCUCACAUGAAGUAUUUAGCAAGUAAAUUAAACAGCCUGACAUUUGCAAUGAAGAUUCUGUCAUAUGCAAGUAGCACGGAGACAAGAAAACUAGUUUCCACAGAUACUUUGAUCAGUCAUAAGGUAUGGAAUUAUUUAUUGGGGAGGCAGAAGCAAAAUGAUUAGAAUGUUAAAAUUGCAAAAAUCAAUCGUUAGAAAUAUGUUUAAUGCAAAACCGAAAGUAUCCUGUCGGCCACUGUUAAGAAAUUUAAAAUAUUAGGUGCUCCAUUUUUGUACAUUUAUGAACUGAUUAUUUUUUAAUGCAACAACACCAAGCCAUUCAUAGACAAUAAAUUUAAACGUCAAUAUGGAACUAGGAACAAGGAGAAUCUCAUGAUUCCCACUCAUAGAUUAAAGCUGUUUGCACAAACCCCAGAGUACAUGGGCAUAAAAAUUUACAACAUUCUAAAAAAGAAACAAGUCCUCAGCAUGGAGAUGGAGCAACUAAAGCAAAAACUACGACAGUUGUUAGUUAUGAAAUGUUAUUAUGCCUUAGAAGACAUUCUUAAUGAUUAUAUGACAAUCUGAGCAAGAAUGCAAGUGGACAAAAAGUUUUGUUAAUUAAGGUUAGAUGUUUUAUGUCUAAUAAAUGACUGUAAUAAUUAGUCUCUCUUUCACAGUAAUACUGUUGUUAGGCUACACACAAUCUCUGCAAUUCAUAAAUUAAUAAUUAUUGUUUCUGUAAUACAUAUGAACUGUAAUUGCCGUAUUGAUUCGUCUCCUGUAUGUUAUGAGACAGUAAAUUCUGAUUCUGAUGAUGUCACUGUUGAAGACUUACUUAUGUCAGAGCAGAGUGCCACUCAGCCCAUUCUGCAAUGAUCACUGACUACAAUAGCAUUAUCUCACUACAGAGCCUAUAGUGCAAGAGUAGUAUUGCAUAGAACUAUGUUUACAGUUAGUUGUAAUUUGAGAGAAGAGACUAUUAUCUUGUAGUAUAUCAAGUGAUAAAAUAAUGUUCAGUGUCGGUAAUAGAUAGACAUGACAUUCCUGUAGAUUGUUUCAAAGUUAAAUGUUUUGUCUUCUUCAAGUUUUAAUAAACUUAACUAAUAGUUUGUGUGUAUUGUAGUAUCAACUCAGCUGCCUCCAAAAAUAAAUAUAAGAACCACCCACAGUGCUAAUUAAUGUUUUUUUGUCUGGCACAACAUGUAAUACAGUACAAGUUCUGUAUGUAUGUAACUUUGCCGAAAACAUCUCAGAAUUGUUUGGUAUCAAUCUGCUCAUUAUAUACUGUUACAGUCUGCUACACCACAUACCACUUAAGGUGGGAUGUAACAGAAAAUAUAAAAUUUAUUUAAAAAAUCAUUACAGCCAUAUUUAUUAAUGUACAAAUUUAAAAUGUUGCAUGUGUAAAGCAAAAGAGUUGUCUUUUAAUGGAAAAAUAUAAUAAAAUACGCAGAAUUAAUAUUUUGCCACAAAUUUUAAUUUUAA